rnacentral:rRNA from 1 species
UACAGAGGGGGCAAGCGUUAUUCGGAAUUAUUGGGCGUAAAGGGCGCGUAGGCGGUCGGACAAGUGGAAGGUGAAAUCCCCAGGCUCAACCUGGGAAUUGCAUUCGAGACUGCAUGGCUAGGAUGCGGAAGAGGGAAGCGGAAUUUCCGGUGUAGCGGUGAAAUGCGUAGAUAUCGGAAGGAACACCAGUGGCGAAAGCGGCUUCCUGGUCCAGCAUCGACGUUCAGGCACGAAAGCGUGGGGAGCAAACAGG